UACGUAGGGUGCAAGCGUUAAUCGGAAUUACUGGGCGUAAAGCGUGCGCAGGCGGUUGUGCAAGACAGGUGUGAAAUCCCCGGGCUUAACCUGGGAACUGCACUUGUGACUGCAUCGCUGGAGUGCGGCAGAGGGGGAUGGAAUUCCGCGUGUAGCAGUGAAAUGCGUAGAUAUGCGGAGGAACACCGAUGGCGAAGGCAAUCCCCUGGGCCUGCACUGACGCUCAUGCACGAAAGCGCGGGGAGCAAACAGG
rnacentral:rRNA from 1 species